rnacentral:rRNA from 1 species
GCAUAAUCACUCGCCCUUUAAUUGGGGGCUUGUAUGAAUGGAUAAAUGAGGGGCCAGCUGUCUCUAAUAUACACAUAAAAAUUAAACUUGAGGUGAAGAUACCUCAAUUCUUUCAAAAGACAAGAAGACCCUAUAGAGUUUUAUCUUAAUUACUUAAUGAGCUUAGAACUAAUGUAUCAAGCCCUAUAAAAAAAGAUUUAGUUGGGGCGACUGGGGGACAAAAAAAACUCCCCUCAAAAAAAGAGAUAUAACUCACUUUAAAGAUCCUUUUUAAAGACCUAAAAAAUCACACUACCUUAGGGAUAACAGGCUAAUCUCCCUAGAGAGUUCAAAUUGACAGGGAGGA